AUUUGAUAAUGAGGGCAACUAGCAUAGAGUUUCUUGAACCGCUCCGAAUACUCAUACAAGUUUUCCCCAUUGUAUUGUCGAAUACCAUAAAUCUCCUUCCAGAU